CUGAAUUAGAUGGAACUGC
rnacentral:piRNA from 1 species